rnacentral:rRNA from 1 species
UAACCUGCCCAAGAGACUGGGAUAACACCUGGAAACAGAUGCUAAUACCGGAUAACAACACUAGACGCAUGUCUAGAGUUUAAAAGAUGGUUCUGCUAUCACUCUUGGAUGGACCUGCGGUGCAUUAGCUAGUUGGUAAGGUAACGGCUUACCAAGGCAAUGAUGCAUGGCCGAGUUGAGAGACUGAUCGGCCACAUUGGGACUGAGACACGGCCCAGACUCCUACGGAAGGCAGCAG